rnacentral:rRNA from 1 species
AUACGUAGGGGGCAAGCGUUAUCCGGAAUUACUGGGUGUAAAGGGAGAGUAGGCGGCAUGAUAAGUUAGAUGUGAAAGCCUUGGGCUUAACCCGAGGAUUGCAUUUAAAACUAUCAAGCUAGAGUACAGGAGAGGUAAGUGGAAUUCCUAGUGUAGCGGUGAAAUGCGUGGAUAUUAGGAAGAACACCAGUGGCGAAGGCGACUACCUGGACCGAUACUGACACUGAGGAGCGAAAGCGUGGGGAGC